rnacentral:rRNA from 1 species
AACGCUAGCUACAGGCUUAACACAUGCAAGUCGAGGGGAAACGACAUCGAAAGCUUGCUUUUGAUGGGUGUCGACCGGCGCACGGGUGAGUAACGCGUAUCCAACCUGCCCACCACUUGGGGAUAACCUUGCGAAAGUAAGACUAAUACCCAAUGACGUCUCUAGAAGACAUCUGAAAGAGAUUAAAGAUUUAUCGGUGAUGGAUGGGGAUGCGUCUGAUUAGCUUGUUGGCGGGGUAACGGCCCACCAAGGCGACGAUCAGUAGGGGUUCUGAGAGGAAGGUCCCCCACAUUGGAACUGAGACACGGUCCAAACUCCUACGGGAGGCAGCAGUGAGGAGUAUUGGUCAAUGGACGAGAGUCUGAACCAGCCAAGUAGCGUGCAGGAAGACGGCCCUAUGGGUUGUAAACUGCUUUUACAAGGGAAUAAAGUGAGAGUCGUGACUCUUUUUGCAUGUACCUUAUGAAUAAGGACCGGCUAAUUCCGUGCCAGCAGCCGCGGUAAUACGGAAGGUCCGGGCGUUAUCCGGAUUUAUUGGGUUUAAAGGGAGCGUAGGCCGGAGAUUAAGCGUGUUGUGAAAUGUAGACGCUCAACGUCUGCACUGCAGCGCGAACUGGUUUCCUUGAGUACGCACAAAGUGGGCGGAAUUCGUGGUGUAGCGGUGAAAUGCUUAGAUAUCACGAAGAACUCCGAUUG